rnacentral:misc_RNA from 1 species
AAGUCGCAACAAGGUUUCCGUAGGUGAACCUGCGGCAGGAUCAUUAACACGUAUCCAAACGUUAAAACCCCCCCCGUGAACCUUCAUCCUGCUCUUGUAACCCGCGUAGUUCGCAAUCUCUGAUAAAUCAUAGCCCGGAAAGUUGUAGUGAUUCAGAGACCUCUGGCUACGUGCGAACAUUGGAACCGUACACUCGGGCAGGAGCUUUAAAGGGUCCCCAUGCCCCCUAAUAACCCCACAGUUUAAUGUGAAGCUCAAUGUAAUACAUUGGGUAAAAAAACCGAACAACUGUUAACAAUGGAUAUCUUGGUUCUC